rnacentral:rRNA from 1 species
UACGAAGGGGGCUAGCGUUGUUCGGAAUUACUGGGCGUAAAGCGCGUGUAGGCGGGUCUUUAAGUCAGGGGUGAAAUGCCAAGGCUCAACCUUGGAACUGCCUUUGAUACUGGAGAUCUUGAGUCCGGGAGAGGUGAGUGGAACUGCGAGUGUAGAGGUGAAAUUCGUAGAUAUUCGCAAGAACACCAGUGGCGAAGGCGGCUCACUGGCCCGGAACUGACGCUGAGACACGAAAGCCAGGGGAGCGAACGGG